AUUGAACGCUGGCGGCAGGCCUAACACAUGCAAGUCGAGCGAGCGGCGGACGCGUGAGUAAUGUAUGUGGGUCUGCCCGAUAGAGAGGGGUAACUCCUGGAAACAGUGGCUAAUACAGCAUACUGUAUGAUGAACGCAUAUGGGAUUAGCUAUUAGGUAAGGGAAUGGCGUACCUAGGCGACGCUCCCUAUCUGGUCUGAGAGGGUGCUCAGCCACACUGGGACUGAGACACGGUCCAGACUCCUACGGGAGGCAGCAGUGGGGAAUAUUGCACAAUGGGCGCAAGCCUGAUGCAGCCAUGCCGCGUGUAUGAAGAAGGCCCUAGGGUUGUAAAGUACUUUCAGUCGGGAGGCGUUACCGACAGAAGAAGCACCGGCUAACUCCGUGCCAGCAGCCGCGGUAAUUC
rnacentral:rRNA from 1 species